rnacentral:pre_miRNA from 1 species
CUUGUACUCCAUCCGUCCGAAAAUACUUGUCAUUGAAAUGGAUGUAUCUAGAUGUAUUUUAGUUCUAGACACAUCCAUUUUGAUGGCAAGUAAUUCCGGACGGAGGGAGUACUUG